rnacentral:lncRNA from 10 species
AUGACAUUUGUUAUCUCACAGCUCUGGAAGCUAGACUUCUGAAAUCAAGUUGUUGGCAGGAUUGGUUCCUUCUGAGGGCAGUGAGGGAAGGAUCCAUUCCAGGCUUCUCUCCUUGGCUUAUUGGUAAAAAGACAUCCCUUAACUAUGGCAAAACAACAACAACAACGACGACAAAAAACAAAACAAAACAAAACAAAACCCUGCAUCAAUUUGAUAAAUAAUCCUCCCCGUUGAUGUCACUGGUUUU